rnacentral:rRNA from 1 species
UACGUAGGGGGCAAGCGUUGUCCGGAUUUAUUGGGCGUAAAGAGCGUGUAGGCGGCCAGAUAGGUCAGCUGUGAAAACUCGAGGCUCAACCUCGAGCUGUCGGCGGAAACCAUCCGGCUAGAGUCCGGAAGAGGAGAGUGGAAUUCCCGGUGUAGCGGUGAAAUGCGCAGAUAUCGGGAAGAACACCUGUGGCGAAGGCGGCUCUCUGGGACGGUACUGACGCUGAGACGCGAAAGCGUGGGGAGCAAACAGG